rnacentral:rRNA from 1 species
AUGCUAUCUCGAGCGGUAAGGCCCUUCGGGGUACACGAGCGGUGAACGGGUGAGUAACACGUGAGCAACCUGCCCCUGACUCCGGGAUAAGCGGUGGAAACGCCGUCUAAUACCGGAUACGACCCGCCACCUCAUGGUGGAGGGUGGAAAGUUUUAUCGGUCAGGGAUGGGCUCGCGGCCUAUCAGCUUGUUGGUGGGGUAAAGGCCUACCAAGGCGAUUACGGGUAGCCGGCCUGAGAGGGCGACCGGCCACACUGGGACUGAGACACGGCCCAUACUCCUGCGGGAGGCAGUAGUGGGGAAUAUUGCACAAUGGGCGAAAGCCUGUUGCAGCGACGCCGCGUGGGGGAUGAAGGCCUUCGGGUUGAAAACUUCUUUUACCACCAACGCAGGCUCCACGUUCUCGGGGGGUUGACGGUAGGUGGGUAAUAAGGACCGGAUAAUUACUUGCCAGCAUCCGCGGU